UGAACCUCCACCUCCUGCCCCCCAGGGAACACCAGGGCCUUCUGACUCAGGAACUGAGGCUGUGCUCAGCUGGCCGUGCCAACCUCAGGGCCUUGCUAGCUAAGAGGAAACUAGCACAUCCACCAGCCUACAGCCCCCUGCCCCCUCCCAACCUAGCGGGGUGUGUGCAUAGCGCCUGCCAGCAUUGCCAAGCCUGCCCAUGGGAGGGCCUCUGCGGGGCUUUCUUGGAGCGAAUAAGAGGCAGCUAAGCCAAGUGAAGACCAGGAAAACCCAGUUGCUAUGUGCUUGAGAAAAGCCUGAAUGUGUCCUGUGACAGUUGGUGCCAGGAGGACCAGAGGGGAGGAAACAGAGAGGAGUCAGAAGAGACUGGAUUGCCUUAGCACCCAGCACAUGAUACUCUUUUCCUGGUUCACACAGCACCAGAACAGGGUCUCCUUGAGAGCAGGGGAUGUGCCUGGUUUGUUCAUCUUUGUCCCCUAGGACCUAGCACUCAGG